UAUAAACUAAUUUAUAAAAAUAAACUUUGCUGUAAUGUGAGGUAGAGCUCUAAAUUUAUCUUAAAUAUACAAUCAAUUAUCCCAGUGUCAAUUUUUCCCAUAUUUAAUAUUAAAAGGUAAAAAGGUAAACUUCAAAUGUAUUUAUAUCUAUUUCUGGGCAUUCUCUGUUUAUCUAUUUCUAUGCUAGAAAUUUAUUGCUUUUAUUAUUACAAAUAGGCGGGUUUUUUUUUUAAUAAAAUUUAGUUAUCUCUUAAUAACAGGAGCCCUUUGGCCAGUGGGAGCUGCCAAGAUUGCUCAGAGGAGAAACAAGUUUCAUACACCAGGAAAGCAGUUUCCAGGUUAAGAGUUCCAACUACACAGCUUCAGAAAAUGGCUACAUGUAGAAAGAGAGAGGCUGAAGAUUAAGAAAGUACAAAGGGAAAAAAUAGGGGCCCCUUGAUGUUCCAACAUCCAGGAUGAUCUAUCAGAUGAAUGAGUGAAGCCAUCUCACAGCUAGUUGAGCUACCUCAGUGAACACCACACAAAGAAGAGGUAAGUUGUGCCACUGGGUCCUGCCCAAAUUGUAGACCAAAUAAAUGGAUGUUAUCCAAAGCUAAAAAGUCUCGA
rnacentral:lncRNA from 12 species